rnacentral:rRNA from 1 species
AAUAGAUACCCAGGUAGUCCACGCCGUAAACGAUGGAUGCUAGCUGUUAUGCGUAUCGACCCGUGUAGUAGCGAAGCUAACGCGUUAAGCAUCCCGCCUGGGGAGUACGAACGCAAGUUUAAAACUCAAAGGAAUUGACGGGGACCCGCACAAGCGGUGGAGCGUGUUCUUUAAUUCGAGGCUAAGCGAAGAACCUUACCAGGGCUUGACACCCUUGGAAUUUCUCCGAAAGGAGAGAGUACUUUAUUGGACCAAGUGACAGGUGCUGCAUGGCCGUCGUCAGCUCGUGUCGUGAGAUGUUUGGUUAAGUCCAUUAACGAGCGCAACCCUUAUGAAUAGUUGUAUUUUUCUAUUCAGACUGCCCCGGUAACGGGGAGGAAGGGGGGGAUGAUGUCAGGUCAGUAUUGCCCUUACGCCCUGGGCUAGAAACGCGCUACAAUGGCCGGUACAAUGCGCUGCCAACCCGCGAGGGGGAGCAAAUCGCAUCAAAGCCGGGUCCCAGUUCGGAUAAGAGGCUGAAACUCGCCUCUUUGAAGCCGGAAUCGCUAGUAAUCGGU